ACAUUACAGGUUAUGCUCCGGAAGAUGGAGACAUUGGAGGAGAACCAGCGAGAGGCUCUCCUAUUCAGGCGACUACAGGGCAGACACACUGAAGAGGUGCCAGUGAUGGACCUACAGGUGGCCCAAACACAGGCUGAACUCCAAGACCUUGAGGAGUGCCUUAAGGUGCUGGAGUUGCGAAAGAGAGUGACGCUGUGAUGAAGUGGAAGACGGGACUGGGAGAGAAAGCUGUGGAGCUCCUCAUAGAGGAGACACUCAAACACACCCCGGCAGCCCAUUCAAAACAAGCCAGGGCCAACAGACAGGACCUGUAGCGGGGACUGGCAGAAGAUUUUAAUUCACUGUUUGGCACUUUGUUUGAAAUAAAAUG